rnacentral:lncRNA from 1 species
GGAAACACAGUGUGGACACGUGUGAUUUAGGUCCUCCAUUUCAGUGCCUAGACCUAGAAUUCCUCUGCACGUUGGGGCUUGGAAAAUGGCCACGUGCAGAGGGGCUGGCAGUUCAGGGAGCAGGGACAAAUCUGCACGGUCCUACCUCCCAGAAGAUGAGGCGAGGCGUUGCGGUUAGCAUGACUCGUGACAUGAAGCACUCAGAGGUUCACCACGAAUCUGAAAGUCAAGACACCGACCUCCAUUAAUAUUGUCUUCCUUAGCCUUCCCUUAGAGACAAAACUGAAAGUCACCGUGGACCUUAUCUUUAACAUGCUGAGUGCAUCUCAACAUUGAUCAUCGUGAAUAGACCUUCUAACCAACACUAAGAAUUCAUUUCCCAGAAAAUGGAACAUCCUUGUGGAAAUGACAUCUCUGGACCCUCAUAAGCCCAUCCUGGUGGAGGGUAGAGCUCUGUCAGUCAUGGGAGCAGUGCGUCUCUGCAGGUCAAGAUGAGUGGAUUCGUGGAAACUUUUAUCAAAAUGUGUUAAUGAUCUCAAGCAUUUGACUGUUAACUAUGGAGGAAGAACCAUUGGCCAUCAUCCUCACCCGUGGAUGUGUCUAUAUGUCCGUCCCAGCCCUUGAGCUGUCAAGUCUCCAGGGAAAACUUCGUAGGGGAAGGUGCAGGAUCUACGUGUGGGUCUCUUUGCUUGCCU